GUGCUAAGUGCUGGGGAUACAGGUGUAAGCAAAACCAGUCCCUGCCCUGAAGGAGCUCACAGUCUAAUGUGGGAGACAACAUGCAA
rnacentral:miRNA from 1 species